AUUGAACGCUGGCGGCAGGCUUAACACAUGCAAGUCGAGCGGGGUGAUGGUGCUUGCACUAUCACUUAGCGGCGGACGGGUGAGUAAUGCUUAGGAAUCUGCCUAUUAGUGGGGGACAACAUCUCGAAAGGGAUGCUAAUACCGCAUACGUCCUACGGGAGAAAGCAGGGGAUCUUCGGACCUUGCGCUAAUAGAUGAGCCUAAGUCGGAUUAGCUAGUUGGUGGGGUAAAGGCCUACCAAGGCGACGAUCUGUAGCGGGUCUGAGAGGAUGAUCCGCCACACUGGGACUGAGACACGGCCCAGACUCCUACGGGAGGCAGCAGUGGGGAAUUUUGGACAAUGGGGGGAACCCUGAUCCAGCCAUGCCGCGUGUGUGAAGAAGGCCUUAUGGUUGUAAAGCACUUUAAGCGAGGAGGAGGCUCUUUUGGUUAAUACCCAAGAUGAGUGGACGUUACUCGCAGAAUAAGCACCGGCUAACUCUGUGCCAGCCGCCGCCGUAA
rnacentral:rRNA from 1 species